UAAUAGUAUUGCCUUCAUAGAUUUUAUUUAGUUUAUGGAAUUUUGAUGCUCUUACCUUGUUUAGGUAUGUUGAUGUAUGAGUUAGAGUGAAGUGGAUUUAUUUCCAUUCCUUAAUCCCUCAAUCAUGUUGUAUUUAAUUGUGCAGUCCAAUGAAACAUGCUAUUCGUUUUCCCUUUUUGAUAAUAUGAUAAGAGACUUUUCACAUAUUGUCUUUCUUUAGCCAAAUUGUUUCCCUUUGUUGUAAAAUAAAAGGAUAAUUGUUUAUGACCUGUUUUUAUUAUUGUUCCAAAUGUCCUUAAUAUAUGUUGAGUGUUAUUAAUUGUGAUAUAUUUUUAUUAUUUAUAUUGAUUUCAAUACAAUGCUGAUUAUAAAAAUUACUUUUUUAUGGUGUUGUUGGGCCUUUGUUGGUUCAACUCUGGAGGUACUCUGAUGCCCUGAAUAGGUUGUCCCUUGCUGCUAUGCUUUUCUUCUUCUAUCAGUUUGGCUGUUUCCCUUUUAAUAUGUUGUGUUGGUCUUCUUGUUUGCAGGCCGAAGCAGUGCUUCAGUGAUGUUGCUGUCAUCUUUUUUUUUUUGAAGUGUUUAGUGGUUUCUAGUUCUGUUUUUAGGAGGGCAUCAUGGAGAUAAAGAACUUUCAAUUUCCUUCGCCGGUGACAAAAAUUUCAAUUCUUGAGUGCGCUUUAUUUCUCUGAGAGGUGGAUGUAGCUCAUUCUGUAGCAGUCAAUACUUGUGAUAGAGGUAUUUUAUAUUGAUUAAAUUUAACUUUUAAGGUAAUAGAAAAUUGAAGCGAAAGGUUCUUACAACUUUUUAAUGUGUGUGUGCGCGUGUUGAAAAAAAUCUUGCAUAUGUUCCACCAGUUUGACACUACUGUCACCAGUUUGACAUCUCAU